rnacentral:misc_RNA from 1 species
UUUUUCUUUUAUUUGAUUGCCCCGUUAUUAUUUAUUUAUUUAUUGAUUUAUGCUUUCUGUUUGUAUGCACUAAAAUUUUGAUUUAAUGAGUAAAACCCUUGAGCAAUUAUAUUGAUUUAUGAUGUAUUUGGUGCUUAAAAGGAUUGAAAACCUCGGAAGACAUGUUAGGGCACCAAAGGAGAUAAGAAAAGUUUAUUUGGAAACAUGACUAUGCUGACGAGAAAUUGAUAGGAAGUAAAUGGACAACAAUUUAAACCAAUAAAUUCUUCCUACUGGUGUGAACCUAUGAAGAACAACAAUUGAGUAUAUAUGCAGCAAAUAAUCACCAUAAUAGGCUGCUCAAAAGAUGUAUAAAUCAAUCACACAAGAACAAGGUAAUUUUUUACAUGGAAAACUCCUUCAAUGUGAAAGAUAAAAA